rnacentral:lncRNA from 1 species
GCUGGGAGUGUUUGGUGCAUGCUGGGAAUUGUUUGAGCAAGGGAGUGCGUGUGUGGUGUAGAGUUAGAUAUUCAGGACUUUCUUUAGGUUUUCUCUUUCUUGGUGGCAUUCUUUGUUUUCUUCUGUGCAUGAUUAAGGUUAUUAUUUUUAUUUGUUUGUUGUGGUAGAAUUAAGUAUUUUGUUUUCGUAUCGAAAUUACCCUGUUUUUGGCGGGGAUGGCAGCCCGAAUGGGGAUGCCGUCCCUGUCACUUCGGCACGGCUUUAGGUGUGUUACUGAAGCUACUGUCACGGUGGAGGAGUUUCUGGUCGCCGUAGGAGAGAAGCGGAGGCUCCCCGCAGGAAGAAACAAGGAUGCCGCCAUCAAUUAUUUAGGACAGGUGGAUAAAACGGGGAGAAAGAGGGACCCCUGGGGAAAUACUGUGAAAAUAUGGAUGAACGGAAAAUACUCUGAUUUGAAGGGCAGCCACUCUAUGUAGCAGGUCAGUAGGAAUGAGGAACAACCAGGAAAGGAUUGCACCUGACCCCUCUGCAUAUGGAGUAAGGAUGCUUCCAAAGACAAGAUGGUGCCGACAGACAAGGACAAUGACCCAAACACACCUCCAGGCUGCGUAAGGGCUAUUUGACCGAGAAGGAGAGUGAUGGAACCCUGCAUCAGAGGACCUGGCCUACACAACCACCCGACCUCAACCCAAUUGAGAUGGUUUGGGAUAAGUUGGACCGCAGAGUGAAGGAAAAGCAGCCAACAAGUGCUUAGCAUAUGUGGGAACUCCUUCAAGACUGUUGGAAAAGCAUUCCAGGUGACUACUACAUCAUGAAGCUGGUUGAGAGAAUGCAAAGCUGUCAUCAAGGCAAAGGGUGGCUACUUUGAAGAAUCUAAAAUAUAUUUUGAUUUGUUUAACACUUUUUUUUGGUUCCUACAUGAUUCCAUGUGUUAUUUCAGGUCUUCAGUAUAUAUAUUAAAACUAAAGAAAACCCUUGCACUAUUAACUGGUACUGUAUAUGAAAUCAAUAUCGAAAAAAAUACACUCUCUCUCUCUCACACACCUACCCCUAAAGUACAGUUGUAGUCGGAAGUUUACAUACACCUUAGCCAAAUACAUAUAAACUCAGUUUUUCACAAAUCCUGACAUUUAAUCCUAGUAAAAAUUCCUUGUCUUAGGUCAGUAGC